UGGGAGCCUGGCGUGCUCUCAGUCCGCGGAAAGCGACUGAACGUAUACGAGAAACGAUUCUUCGCAUCAAUUCUGUCGCGCAUUCGUGGAGAUCGCGAUCGAGAUUCGUGGUGACACAUUGUGGACCGUUGGAAUAUCGUUGAUUGGAUUCUCGUGUGGCGGUCGGUGGCGAUUUUCUGUGACGCGGAUCGUACUGGAUCGAGAAAUGGAGUUCUUCAAUUAAUCGAUCAUACAUGGAGGAAUAUCGAUCGAUUAUGAUUCCAAAUACGUAUUGUCUUCGUGGAAUGGAAUUACUUGAACGAACCACAGAUGCUUCAGAAUUUCUGCGUGCCUGACAUCGCCAAUUGGGACUCACGAUGCUGGAACCAAUUCUUGGAAUAUCGACGGUAUGGUGGUUGGUGGUGUACGCCAGUAUUCUGCUGCUGCUGUCGCCCUUGGUGCUGAUCUUCAUCGUAUUGCUACCGAACUUCCCGAUAUUGUUGCUCAGAAGAAUGUGUUACAUUCCGAUCGAGUCUAUUUGACAAAUUGAAUCGUCGAUUCUUAGAGAUCGUACCUCUUUAAAUCCUUCUGAGUUUCAAUGUUAAAAUUUCCUACGGUAUAACGGUUCGGUAAGUCGAUGGUUGAAUUGCAGAAGACUGUUGAAAAAUGCAUUAUCGUGCUCGAAAAUUCAAAGCAUGCAAAGAGUUACGAUAGUCUUUGAUAAUUCUAUGAAAGUACAGAGUUAGCUUUAUGAUUGUAAUUUUGAGUAUUCAAUGAGAGAUUGUAGAUUCAAAACAAAAAAAAAAAAAAAAAAAAAAAAAAAAAAAAAUUAUAGUCCCCUAAUAGAUAUCUGUACAUAGAUAUGAUACCUGGGACAAUGACCAUGGAAUAAAUGGUCGCGGUUGAGAACAAACGUAUCUACUUUCCGUACAUUGUUCGAUCAAAUCAAAAGUAGUCGUAAAGUUAAUACUCUAUUAUGUACCUUAAUUUAAAGCGCUCUAAUUAGCUAUCUACUUCUUCAUUUAGGUAUACAAAUUAUUAGGACCAUUAUUCGUACCGUAUAAUUUACCAUUCCCUUUUUAUAUGACGAUUACGAUGUACCUUGAAACUGCCAAGUAUACGCACAAUUGAUUAGGAAUGAAAUAUAAAGCACUCUCUAUAGAAA